AAUUGUUCUUCGCCUGCUCCGAAUGGAAGGAACCUUUGCAGGGAAUGCUUGUUGGAAGUCGCAGACGCCCCCAGUAGGAGCUCUCCACAGGACGACCUUAAGCUCUGGAUUUCCCAGGCUAUUGCUGAGGGCUUUAAGGCUACCACGGGAUCUAGUGGUCCGAGUAAGAGACGCAGAGCGGAACCUCAGUCUUCCAGCUCUCAUGAGGACCCUGAUGUGUGGGAGGUCUCGGAUGUAGGUGA